rnacentral:misc_RNA from 1 species
CGACGACACCCAUUUUCUGGUCAGGUAAGCAAAGGCCGUCAAAGGAAGCUGAAAACUUCUUCUUCUUCUUUUUUGUUUGCCUUUCCCUCUUUAUCUGUCGUCGACUACUUCUUCUCUUGCCUCUUUCUUCUUUCUAUUGGGCUUUUCUCAAUCUGCAUUGCUGUUGUCAAAGAAGUUGUUAUUUUAGGUCUUAAAGGGCACCCAAUUCUUUAAAGUUUUUCUUCCACCCCAAACAUAUUGAGUUUUUGUCUUUGAGAAUAAUUCAUGAGCCAAACAUCAACCUCUUGUUAUUUUUAUGGGUGCUCAGAAGUUUUGUAGUUUUGAGAUCUGAAAUUUUGUUGGCUUUGAUCUUUUGUAAAUGAGCAUUUUAUUUCGUGCUUAUUUUUAUGUAGCUAUGAAGCUUAUUUUUUAUUGCCAACAGCAAUUAGUGAUGCUCUCUCUCUUCCCCCCCCUAGUGGCAAUGGAUUUUUGUAGGAA